AACGAACGCUGGCGGCGUGCUUCAUACAUGCAAGUCGAGCGAGAAAGCAUCCUUCGGGGUGUGAGUAAAGCGGCGAACGGGUGCGUAACACGUGGGUAACUUGCCCAACGGUUCGGGAUAAGCCUUCGAAAGGAGGUCUAAUACCGAAUGAAGUCCGGGACCGGCAUCGGUACCGGAUGAAAGGCGGUCGUCUUCGGAUGGCCGUCGCCGAUGGAUGGGCCCGCGGUCCAUUAGCUUGUUGGUGGGGUAAAAGCCUACCAAGGCUGCGAUGGAUAGCCGACCUGAGAGGGUGAUCGGCCACACUGGGACUGAGAUACGGCCCAGACUCCUACGGGUGGCUG
rnacentral:rRNA from 1 species